CGGGUGAGUAACGCGUGAGGAACCUGCCUCAAAGAGGGGGACAACAGUUGGAAACGACUGCUAAUACCGCAUAAGCCCACGGCUCGGCAUCGAGCAGAGGGAAAAAGAGUGAUCCGCUUUGAGAUGGCCUCGCGUCCGACUAGCUAGUUGGUGAGGUAACGGCCCACCAAGGCGACGAUCGGUAGCCGGACUGAGAGGUUGAACGGCCACAUUGGGACUGAGACACGGCCCAG
rnacentral:rRNA from 1 species